GAGUGAGACUUUUUUUAUUAUCAUUAACAAAAUCACCAUGUGUGUACGUGUGCGUUUUUAUAGUCUGGUCCUCUUCAUGAUCUUAGUAAGGAGAUGCCUUGAACUGGCAGGAUUCAACUGCAGGGAUUUUGCAAAUCUUAGGCAAGUUCUGAGCAGUCUGAAACACAUGUUUCAUCUGUUGUUGUCCAUGCAUUCCCUGGAAUCUAACUUGUUGAGCAGCCUUUUUCAGUGUAGGACACACACACAUCUUGUCCACUUGUCUUAACUCAUUGCAACACAUUCUAAGAGCUGGUUGAUGUUGUUGAGGUGUUGGGUUCUCAUCGUCCUCAAAAUCAACAUCAAGAGUGAGCUCAAAGUCAUCAGCUUCGUAUCCGAUUCUUCCUUGUUGAGCUCGCUUGCGGAUCCAUUGCUUGCAACCUCUUAGUUGCUGAUGCUGCAUAAACUCCCUCUGGCACUUAUCUUGUUGUGGGUUGCUAACGUC
rnacentral:lncRNA from 1 species